GAGAUUGAGGGAGCGAGAACAAUGAAUGUUCUGUUACUAUUCCUCUCACCUUUUCUUCAUUUAUUUUAUUUUUACAAAACAAGCAUUGAAACCAUUAAAAAAUUUGUUUACGUUUAGUCUUCUGUUUUUUAUUAAAUAGUAUAUAUUGGUGUAUUUGCUUUCCCAAUUCAUAAUCCAUUGAAAAACCCAACAGCCAGGUGACUGGGUUUA
rnacentral:lncRNA from 1 species